rnacentral:rRNA from 1 species
AAGUCGUAACAAGGUUUCCGUAGGUGAACCUGCGGAAGGAUCAUUACAGAGAAUAUGCCCUUCGGGGUAGACCUCCUACCCUUUGCUUACUUUACCUUUGUUGCUUUGGCAAGCCCGUCUACCGACCACCGGCUUUUUGCUGGUCAGUGCAUGUCAGAGGAUCUCAAAUUCUUAAUAUAAUAUUGUCCGAGUACUAUUUAAUAGUUAAAACUUUCAACAACGGAUCUCUUGGUUCUGGCAUCGAUGAAGAACGCAGCGAAAUGCGAUAAGUAAUGUGAAUUGCAGAAUUCAGUGAAUCAUCGAAUCUUUGAACGCACAUUGCACCCUCUGGCAUUCCGGGGGGUAUGCCUGUUCGAGCGUCAUUUCAACCCUCAAGCACUGCUUGGUAUUGGGCGUCACUACCUAAGUGUGCCCUAAAGUUAGUGGCGGCGCCCAUUCGGCUUCCAGCGUAGUAAAUUUCUCGCUGUGGAAACGUAUUGUGCUCCCUGUCAGCAACCCCUAAAUUUUUAAGGUUGACCUCGGAUCAGGUAGGGAUACCCGCUGAACUUAAGCAUAUCAAUAAGCGGAGGAAAAGAAACCAACAGGGAUUGCCUCAGUAACGGCGAGUGAAGCGGCAAAAGCUCAAAUUUGAAAUCUGACCUCAUGGUCCGAAUUGUAAUUUGUAGAGGAUGCUUCGAACGUGGUCUGGUCUAAGUUCCUUGGAACAGGACGUCAUAGAGGGUGAGAAUCCCGUAUGCGACUAGGUGCCUAAGUUCAUGUGAAGCUCCUUCGACGAGUCGAGUUGUUUGGGAAUGCAGCUCAAAAUGGGUGGUAAAUUUCAUCUAAAGCUAAAUAUUGGCCAGAGACCGAUAGCGCACAAGUAGAGUGAUCGAAAGAUGAAAAGCACUUUGGAAAGAGAGUUAAACAGUACGUGAAAUUGUUGAAAGGGAAGCGCUUGCAACCAGACUUGCAUAUAGUUGAUCAUCCGAUGUUCUCACCGGUGCACUCAACUGUAUUCAGGCCAGCAUCGGUUUUAGUGGUUGGAUAACGGCCUUGGGAAUGUAGCUCCUUUCGGGGAGUGUUAUAGCCCAAGGUGCAAUGCAGCCUACUAGGACCGAGGACCGCGCUUUGGCUAGGAUGCUGGCGUAAUGGUUGUAAGCGAC